rnacentral:sRNA from 1 species
UCCUGCUGGCUGCACUGGUGCAGGACUAUGUGCAGAUGAAGGCCAGUGAGCUGGAGCAGGAGCAGCAGGAGACAGAGGGCUCCAGCCUGAACAGCCCCAGAUCUAAGCGGUGCGGUAAUCUGAGUACUUGCAUGCUGGGCACAUACACGCAGGACUUCAACAAGUUUCACACGUUCCCCCAAACUGCAAUUGGGGUUGGAGCACCUGGAAAGAAAAGGGAUAUGUCCAGCGACUUGGAGAGAGACCAUCGCCCUCAUGUUAGCAUGCCCCAGGAUGCCAACUAAACUCCUCCCUCUCCUUCCUAAUUUCCUUUCUUGCAUCCUUCCUAUAACUUGAUGCAUGUGGUUUGGUUCCUCUCUGGUGGCUCUUUGGGCUGGUAUUGGUGGCUUUCCUUGUGGCAGAGGAUGUCUCAAACUUCAGAUGGGAGGAAAGAGAGCAGGACUCACAGGCUGGAAGAGAAUCACCCGGGAAAAUACCAGAAAAUGAGGGCUGCUUUGAGUCCCCCAGAGAUGUCAUGAGAGCUCCUCUGUCCUGCUUCUGAAUGUGCUAAUCAUUUGAGGAAUAAAACUAUUUUUCUCCAAAGAUCUGAGCUGUGGUGGUCAUUGUUCUGAUCUAUGUCCCAGGCUUCAUAGUGUCUAAGACCUAUGCUUAGAAAUAGCCUUAACCCUAGGCUAGCUGGACAGAGGGUAUGGUGGGUGGUCCCUCUGACCAAGCUCAAGCAGCAAGAACAGGGGUCCUAAGGAGCAGGUAAGCACCUCUAGGACUUGAUGCUGCAAACUCCGCUCCUCUUCCAGGUAAGACUGAGGAAUUUUUUAUUUUCCUAAGAAAGGGUAUUUGGUGCCCGUGACUGGGGUAUAGAUUUUAUAGUCCUUUGUGAAUGGGGCUGGGUGUGGGACCAUAAUUCACUCCAGUGUCAUAAGCCUCCGCUUUGAUUUUUAGCUAGUUUAUACAGGAAAGAUUGGCUGUUACUGCUCCACAUUCCAUAGCCAGUCAUCCAGAGUCACCUUUGGGUUUUCUGACACCCCUGGGAAUAUCUAUGGGGAGUGAUCAUGGCAUUUUCCCUAAUGGCCUUGUGAUUUUCUGCUCUGAUAAUUGUGUUUAGGAGAAACACUUAAAGUUAAUUGGUGCCUUUCAGCACAGCAACUUUACCAUGAAGGUCCCAUGGGGCUGACCUCUCUCCCAGCCUCUCACUCACAGACCUCUUCUUUCUCCAUCCUGCAAAUCAGAAUCAUUGCCCAGAAGAGAGCCUGUGACACUGCCACCUGUGUGACUCAUCGGCUGGCAGGCUUGCUGAGCAGAUCAGGGGGUGUGGUGAAGAACAACUUUGUGCCCACCAAUGUGGGUUCCAAAGCCUUCGGCAGGCGCCGCAGGGACCUUCAAGCCUGAGCAGCUGAAUGACUCAAGAAGGUCACAAUGAAGCUGAACUCCUUAAUGUAUAAUGAAAGCAAUUUGUAGGAAAGGCUCCAUGGAAGACAUACAUAUAGGCAUCCUUCUUGAUACUGAAAACUAUCUUCUUUGUUUGAAAGGAACUGUUGCUAAAUGCAGAACAAGCUCAUUGCAGUUACCUAUUGUGCAUCUUUUAAAAUACUUGAUUAUGUAACCAUAAAUCUGACAGCAUGUCUCACUGGCUUAUCUGGUAGCAAAUCUAGGCCCCGUCAGCCAUCCUAUUGACAUUGGUGGCUCUGCUAAACCUCAGGGGGUCAUGAAAUCACUGCCUCUUGGGCAUCUGGGGACACAUGGUAAUGCUGUGCCUUGACAGAAGUAUUUGUUUAAAGAAAUGUCAAUGCUGUCAUUUGUGAACUCUAUCAAAAUUAAAAAUGUAUUUUCUAUACCCUU